GUCUUCUACCAUAUUAGACUUAGUGUUCCAGACAAUGAGUGACUAAGUUUGUCAGGAAAUAAAAUAAUAACACAGCUUCAAGAUGAGUAUUUAUAGAUACGUCUUAGUGAUUUUAGAGUGCUCAAAAUGAGCAAUUCUCAAGAACAGAUCAGAGAAAGCAUAUAACCUUGGAGCAUAAUCACAUGUCAUUAUUUGAAGAGUUAAAGAGAUAUAUGCGAUGUGAUUUGAGGACUGAACUGAUGAUUUAGAUGCAGAUGGUAAUAAAUUCUUCUCUGGACUCUGAAGGUUAGCCAUUUUGUAUGAGAUAUGCAGGAUUGCAGGUAUCAUAAAGCAAAUCAAAAUUAUGUUAGCAAAAAAUUUGGUACUGUCAUCUCCAAUGAAAGCAAAAUGUGUGAUAAAUGUUGUUGGCCAUGGAAACUGCAAAGAGCAAUAGAUGAUUCAUCUUCAGUGAAAGCAUGUGUCACAGAGAACAUUAUCUUCUCUUCUUGGUUGACCAUUCUUCCUUGUCGGGCAAUUGUUUCUAUCUACUUCAUCAAUUAUGUAUGCUAUCCUUUAAUCCAUAGGAACUUCUCAUCAGUUGCAGGGUUUGGUUGCCCAAAAUCGACUUGGCUUCGCCAAAACUCCUCUUCUUUAGAAGCCUGGCUGGCAUGGCAACCCACUGGCAGUAGGGUGGUCAACCUUGCCUCGGUUUCGUGACAUGCUAUCUUUCCCCUCUGCAUUCCAUAGUCAAGGGAUAAAUAGAUGCCUUGGAGACAGGAGCACCGCUGCAAUAUCAGAGCUUUCUUCUAUUGUCAGAGUUAGCAGAAUCAAAAUGCACAAUGUCAGUUUUUUCAUCUGUCCUGUAUGCACGGGUAAUGCUUACUAACUAUUCUGAUGAUAACAUCUUUUGAGUAUGUCGUUGCAGAACGACAGUGGUCACAUCAUAUAGUCAGCAUUUUACCUCUAAGAGGUGACAACUAGAUCUUUGUCGUGGCAAAUGCAUCAACUUGCUUCAGCAAAUAAGAUUUAUGAAGACAAACCUCUUCAGUGGUGUAUCCUGCAUGUAUCCGGAAGCUCUUGGAUCUGAAUAAUGCAAUGACUAUGUUGUCUACCGGGCUAAAUUGGUUUUCGGCCAGGAGGAUGAAUUGUUGCUUUAGUGGGAGAUUCAAUUUUGAGCCAAGGUGCGAAAAGAACGCUUGAUUUCUUUUUUGGGAGGCUUUAGUUCAAUAUAACUGAAUUUUGGUAGACUGCAGAUGUUAGAACCAAACUUUUCCCAUCUUCAU